rnacentral:rRNA from 1 species
CCUACGGGAGGCAGCAGUGGGGAAUCUUGCGCAAUGGGCGAAAGCCUGACGCAGCCAUGCCGCGUGAAUGAUGAAGGUCUUAGGAUUGUAAAAUUCUUUCACCGGGGACGAUAAUGACGGUACCCGGAGAAGAAGCCCCGGCUAACUUCGUGCCAGCAGCCGCGGUAAUACGAAGGGGGCCAGCGUUGCUCGGAAUUACUGGGCGUAAAGGGAGCGUAGGCGGAUAGUUUAGUCAGAGGUGAAAGCCCAGGGCUCAACCUUGGAAUUGCCUUUGAUACUGGCUAUCUUGAGUAUGGGAGAGGUAUGCGGAACUCCGAGUGUAGAGGUGAAAUUCGUAGAUAUUCGGAAGAACACCAGUGGCGAAGGCGGCAUACUGGCCCAUUACUGACGCUGAGGCUCGAAAGCGUGGGGAGCAAACAGGAUUAGAUACCCUGGUAGUCCACGCUGUAAACGAUGAGUGCUAGUUGUCGGCAUGCAUGCAUGUCGGUGACGCAGCUACGCAUAAGACACUCCGCCGUCGGGAGGUACGGUCGCGAAGAAUUAAACGUACGAAGAAGUAGUAGACGUCGAGACGUACGCGACGACGACGACGAGGGAGGAGGAGG